GUGUCUAGGAUCACCCUCCUGACUUACUGCCUUACCUUCACUUUCUUAUACAAGCCUAGGACAGAGUAUAGGCAGAAGUCAUUACUGAAAUAAGGGUCUUAAACAUACCUCUAUGCAAAUGAACAAGGAAUCACUUAAGUGUGAGUGAAUUAUCUUCAGAACAAAGAUUGGAUAAAUAUAAAGACCUGUGCUACUUCUAAAUGCUGUAUCCACCAAUUAAGAAUGUCUGUCAGGCCACUUUGGGCAAAUGAAGCAGUUGAGUUUCUAUGGGAGGCCCAGUAGCAGAAUUCCCUUCACAAUCCCACUGGAAAUAGUUCUUCCUCAUCCUUUGAGAUUCCUCUGUCAGAGGGCCAGGGUCCCUCCCGAGGGAAGCCACGUUGCUGUGGCUGCUGGACCAUAAGCUCAGUGAGCCUGGACCUGCGCUCAGUAUCACCUGCCAGGGACUCAGAAACGACCAACCACUCAGGCUGGCAUCUCUGUGAAGCACACAAAUGACUCCUUGUUUUCACUCUAUUAUUGCGAAGUUUCUCGAACUGCUAAUAGAAAAUACUAAUUCCCAGAAGCCCUUUGGAAGAAUUCAUAGCUAUUUGUACAAGCUGAAAAACCAAGAGCAGAUCCAGUGAAAUUUCAAGGCACAAAAGAACUUUAGCAAGUCAGAUGCCUGGAAUGGGAAGCAGUGCCGUGAACUCAGGUCUUUCUUUCACUUUUUGCCUUCAAACAAUCUUAAAGAUGUCAUAAUAAUAGUACUUUCUAAAUGGACAUUAGCCCCAGAGGAGACCACCCUGCAAUGGUCCAACCCCAAAGGAAGCAGAUAUUGAAAUGCACAACUCCCCACCUAGAAGGCUCAUGUAGCUCAGAAUAACUCACUAACUUUAUGAUUUUUGCAGCACCCAAAGCAAGAAAGGGCCACCCUCAGAGCCUGGGGCCGAUCAGCAUGUGGAGGACAGCCAAGCUCCUGCGACCGCUAGCAAGCAGCCUGGCCGCAUCCCAGACAGUGUCCGCGCCUUGGCAGGAAUCCGCAAGUCUGCCCGCAAGGCUUCAAGAGCCGCCCUUUAGAGACGGAAGGCCUGCUCUGCCCCGAGCCUGACAGAGGGGGACUCCCGGGCACUAGGGCCACUGUGCACCUACCCCGCGCAGACACUGUGCUACACGGAGCUGNNNNNNNNNNNNNNNNNNNNNNNNNNNNNNNNNNNNNNNNNNNNNNNNNNNNNNNNNNNNNNNNNNNNNNNNNNNNNNNNNNNNNNNNNNNNNNNNNNNGCGCAGACACUGUGCUACACGGAGCUGCUCUCAACUUCUGACCUUCACAACUGUCUUGAAAAGAGACCGCUUCUACCCCGUUAUUAAAGUGAAAGUAAGACUUCUGGAAGCAAUAAGAAAUAAGCCCCAAAUAGUUCCUUAUUCGACAUCCCCCAUGCUGACAGCAGGAACUGGGAACAGGCUCACACAGGACCAGCAGCGGCUACCGAGAGCCUGGCAGGUGCCCCACAGCCUGAGGUGCCGGAGUGGGGACCACGGGGUCUAGCAGGCGGGGGGUGUCCACAAGUUAGGGAUGGGCAUUGUCACUGAGUCCACAUCGGGUGGUGGGAUAGAGGACAUGUGUGGUCCCCUCUCCAUCUGAGGACUCUCUGGCAAGACUCUGCUCCUUCCUGAAUUUGGUCCAAAAUCAACCCAGCCUCCACUCCCACGCUUUUGUGCCUAUCACUCUAAAAAUGCCAAGAGAAGGAUAAACAGAGGACCCAUCUCUGCUGAACGGAUGCCAUGGUUACCACUAUAGAGUAUCUGUGUCCUCCAAAAUCUGUAUGUGGGACCCUGACCUCAGUGUGAUGGUGUGUGGAAGGGGGCCUAGGGGAGGUGAUGAGGUCAUGACGGUGGAUCCCCCCAAGGAUGAAUCAGGGCUCUCCUAAGAGCCCCCUCCUCACUUCUUCCACAUGAGGACACAGGAGGAGACGCUUCUGGUGAAGCAGACUCUGGACUCCUGGCACCUUGAUCCUGGACAUCUGGCCUCCAGAGCAGGGUGAGGAAUGAGUGUCCAUUGUUCACAGCCACCCAGGCCAUGGUAUUCUGUCACGGGGCCCACGCAGACUGACCAUCA
ensembl:lncRNA